ensembl:misc_RNA
CUUCGUGGGCGCGGCCUCCUCCGUGUCCCGGGUCUGGGCGCCUAGCUCCCCCAGCACCAGGCUGGAAGCUGCGGCCCCACAGAGUUCGGACCGCUCAUCCCGUACAGAGAAAGCCUUUUCCAGGCCCACAGCCCAGAAUCGAGCACCCCAGCGGCCAAGAACGUCCACGAGAG